rnacentral:rRNA from 1 species
AUGGCUCUAAUCCGGAUGAACACAAGUGUUCUGUGCUUGAUGGCACGUUUGAUGGUUUCAACCACUUUUCUGUCGUGUGAUGCAUCAGGAAGGAACAUAGCGACUACUAGGACUAUAGAUGCAAUUAUUUCUAGUGGAUACCAGGAACCAUAUGAUCCUUCCCCUUGUCCAAAUGUUAACGCGUGUGAUCACUACUGCAAGCAAGAUGGCAAGGGAAGUGGCACCUGCCGUAAUGGCGCAUGUUGUUGCUCCAAACGUUUGUAG